rnacentral:rRNA from 1 species
CCUACGGGAGGCAGCAGUGGGGAAUAUUGGACAAUGGGGGCAACCCUGAUCCAGCCAUGCCGCGUGUGUGAAGAAGGCCCUCGGGUUGUAAAGCACUUUCAGUGAGGAAGAACGCCUGGUGGUUAAUACCCAUCAGGAAAGACAUCACUCACAGAAGAAGCACCGGCUAACUCCGUGCCAGCAGCCGCGGUAAUACGGAGGGUGCGAGCGUUAAUCGGAAUUACUGGGCGUAAAGCGCGCGUAGGUGGCUUGAUAAGCCGGUUGUGAAAGCCCCGGGCUCAACCUGGGAACGGCAUCCGGAACUGUCAAGCUAGAGUGCAGGAGAGGAAGGUAUAAUUCCCGGUGUAGCGGUGAAAUGCGUAGAGAUCGGGAGGAAUACCAGUGGCGAAGGCGGCCUUCUGGACUGACACUGACACUGAGGUGCGAAAGCGUGGGUAGCAAACAGGAUUAGAUACCCCAGUAGUC